UAGGUAAGAGAGAGAGAGAGAGAGGUAGGUCAAAAACCCGAUGCCUCUUACUCUUACUAAGCUACCUAUUUAUACAAGUUUUGACCAUGGUUACUUUCGAAAGUAACUCUGGUUUACAUAAAAGUAACUACAGUUAAUGAAAAGUAACUUUAAUAAUGAAAGUGUAUCGUAGCUUUAAUAAUGAAAGUGGAUUCUUUGUCGGCCAAUAUUAGAAAGCAGAUUCUUUCUUGAUCAUGAUGAGAAGGGCUGAUAAUGACCUUUUGUCUUUAAGUGUAUGGAUGAUAGUUGAUGCCUAAACAGUCAUCUUCAUUUUCUUGAAGGUAGUUCUGGCUGUUGACUGAUGAAGUAUCUGAGCCAGAUUUCUGACUCAUCAUAUCUAUUUUCUUUUGAAAUUCUUGGGGAGAGCUUGCUGCGGCUAAUUCGGCUAUGAGCCUUGAUCUUUCUUGAAGAAAUGAACUUUCUUGAUUGAGACGAGAAACAGGGGUAGUUGACAGCUGUUUCUUGCUUUGUUGAGUAAGCUGAUAAGUCUUUAUCCAAGCUUN
rnacentral:lncRNA from 1 species